ACUGCGGGAAACUGUAGCUAAUACCGGAUGUGUCUGCAAAGAGAAAGAUUUAUCGCCUUCAGAUGAGCCCGCACUAGAUUAGCUAGUUGGUGAGGUAAUUGCUCCACCAAGGCUACGAUCUAUAGCUGAUUUGAGAGGAUGAUCAGCCACACUGGGACUGAGACACGGCCCAGACUCCUACGGGAGGCAGCAGUAGGGAAUAUUGGACAAUGGGGGAAACCCUGAUCCAGCAAUGCCGCGUGAGUGAAGAAGGCCCUC
rnacentral:rRNA from 1 species